CGGAUAAGCUUAUUUCACUCUGCCCAAGACGGAUUCAGGUGACAUGCGACUGAUGCAAGGAGACGAGAUCUGUCUGCGGUAUAAAGGAGACAUGGCUCCGCUGUGGAAAGGGAUCGGACACGUCAUCAAAGUCCCGGACAAUUAUGGAGAUGAAAUCGCAAUCGAGCUGCGCAGCAGUGCUGGUGCACCUGUGGAGGUAACACAUAACUUCCAGGUGGACUUUGUCUGGAAAUCCACAUCUUUUGACCGGUUAGUCCUAC